UCCUCUAUCCAGUCCUCCAGCUCCUCGGGGGUGGGCAGGUCCUCGUCGUUGGACAUGUCCAGCCACACGCUGUCCGCCUGCAACGCGGAGAGCAGCGAGAGAGUCGAGGCCGAUCCGCCGCACGGCGACGAGACCUGACCCACUACUCACAUCGGUGACGUUCACCACGCCGAUCUGGGGUCGGAACAGGUCCAGCUUGAAGGUUUUCUCCCACUUCCUCAAAGUCGCCCUGCAAACAGCAAACAGGAAACGAUUAGGCCGCGACGGCGUUGAAGGAACCCGAAAGAUCUCCACCGCAUCGACCUUCGGUGUUGGUUGACGAACUCCACGAUGUCCAUCUCCGACAGAGGUCGGCCCGGCAGGACGACCGGCUCCUCCAUGAACGGCUCGUAGAAAUCCACCUCGUUCAUCUUGAGGGAGAGAUGUUUGGCUACCUUAAAACAAGAAGAUGAAAAGAAACGCAGCUUGAGAUAGCCAAUGAGGCGGAUGUCCUCCUCCAUCCUCUCGAAGGCUCGCAGCUCCAUGGCGUUGUUGAGCAUCUCCACCGGGUCCUCCAGCACCUAUAGGGGGCGGCAGAGCACAGGAACUCCACGAGCGUGUCGGCCGACAGCUCCCCGUCGAACUCGAUGACCCGGUCGUCCUUGAAGACGUACAAGCUGCCCACCUCCUCCAGACCUGUUGAAACAGCAUGUGGCU